UUGAAUUUCCGGUAAUCGUACUACCAGUAACUUGAUAGCAGAUUAACGUAACGUAUUAGUGUAACGCACGCCCUAGUAAAUAGUAAGAAAGAGAGAAGGGCUGAAACAAGGCAAGUUUAUCGUUACAUGUGCACCAGCGGUUGAUGGGACCAGUGCUAAUGAGUUUUAGAGGAACGCAGUCUGAAUGUCAACGUGACGAGUGCUGGCAAUCAGAAUCUGGAAUCAAAUGAAAACAAAUCAAAUAUUCAAGGAGCACAAUGCUUUGUGUUAUGGUGAGCAAGGCUUUUGAAAAACUUUUCUGUAUCUGGAGCGGAAUCCCAGGUUCCACUAUCAAGGUUAAAUGGAAUGUUCUGCAAAGUUCUGGAGAAAGAAAAUGGAGUUCCUGAUAAAGAAAAAGGACGAAUAGGACAUUUCCCCUCUGUGGUACGCCAGAAAGUUCGUUUAGAGCGAGGCGGAAAGCGAACCUAUGUAUAAUAUAAAUAAAAAUAGAAUGCUGCAUUUCAAUGAAACUGUCAUGAAUCUGUCAAAGUCUAUUGUUUGAAAGCGGAUAUUUACCAGAGAGGUCACGGUUGUAGAGCUAACUGGUCCCAUCAACCACUGGUCCACAUACAUUUAAAGUAUGGCUUACAAAUAUCAUUGUUUUGUGUGUCACAGAUUAAUAUUCCCUAUAAAUAAGACAUGCUGUCGGCAAGUUUAUUUGUCAUGUGAUCGUUUGGUGCUGUAUUUGCUGGUAAUAAACCCUGGCGAAUUAUUUUAA